rnacentral:rRNA from 1 species
AUUGAACGCUGGCGGCAGGCCUAACACAUGCAAGUCGAGCGGAUGAAGGGAGCUUGCUCCUGGAUUCAGCGGCGGACGGGUGAGUAAUGCCUAGGAAUCUGCCUGGUAGUGGGGGAUAACGUCCGGAAACGGGCGCUAAUACCGCAUACGUCCUGAGGGAGAAAGUGGGGGAUCUUCGGACCUCACGCUAUCAGAUGAGCCUAGGUCGGAUUAGCUAGUUGGUGGGGUAAAGGCCUACCAAGGCGACGAUCCGUAACUGGUCUGAGAGGAUGAUCAGUCACACUGGAACUGAGACACGGUCCAGACUCCUACGGGAGGCAGCAGUGGGGAAUGUUGGACAAUGGGCGAAAACCUGAUCCAGCGAGGCCGCGUGUGUGAAGAAGGUCUUCGGAUUGUAAAGCACUUUAAGUUGGGAGAAAGGGCAGUAAGUUAAUACCUUGCUGUUUUGACGUUACCAACAGAAUAAGCACCGGCUAACUUCGUG